rnacentral:rRNA from 1 species
AAGGAAUAUUGGUCAAUGGACGCAAGUCCGAACCAGCCAUGCCGCGUGAAGGAUGAAGGUCCUCUGGAUUGUAAACUUCUUUUAUCUGGGACGAAAACGGGAUUUUUAUCUCAAUUGACGGUACCAGAGGAAUAAGCACCGGCUAACUCCGUGCCAGCAGCCGCGGUAAUACGGAGGGUGCGAGCGUUAUCCGGAUUUACUGGGUUUAAAGGGUGCGUAGGUGGGCUUAUAAGUCAGUGGUGAAAUCUCCGAGCUUAACUUGGAAACUGCCGUUGAUACUAUAGGUCUUGAAUUAUCUGGAGGUAAGCGGAAUAUGUCAUGUAGCGGUGAAAUGCUUAGAUAUGACAUAGAACACCAAUUGCGAAGGCAGCUUACUACAUAUAAAUUGACGCUGAGGCACGAAAGCGUGGGGAUCAAACA